CGACCCUCAAUUCUGCUUCUUCAUAUUUAGUGUAAAUCCAAACAGCAACGCUCCUGAGUUUGUGUCCCACGUCACCUUCAGUCCGCUCAGAGCAGAGGAAUCAUUUCCAUAGAGAGGAGGCUUUGCAUCGUCAGCUGAUCCUCCACUGAACUGAGAAGCUUUAUAGUCCUGUGACUCCAACUCUGCAGGACUCAGACCCGUCAGUCGACCACAACCACCAUGACUCUCAUCACCCUCCUCAUCUGGACGCUGGCCUGCUGCAGCUUCACAGGAUGCAGCGGCCAGAUGACUGUGACUCAGCCUCCAGUCGUGACAUUUACUCCAGAAUCCACUGUAACACUGACCUGUAACACUAACCCCAGUGUUUGGAGGAAUAGUGCUGGUGAUGAUUAUAUGUCCUGGUACCAGCAAAAACCUGGACAGGUUCCCAAGCUUCUUAUAUACUCAGCAUCAACUCUAUAUUCAGGAACUCCCUCUCGAUUCAGUGGCAGUGGCUCUGGUUCUAGCUUCACCUUAACCAUCAGCGGUGUUCAGGCUGAAGAUGCUGGAGAUUAUUACUGUCUCGGUUAUCGUAGCAGUGUGUCCACACAGUGAUUUAGAGCCGUACAAAAACCUCCCUCAGUUUGACUGAAGUGAAACUGGUCUGCUGCAGCUGCACAGAGAAUAACUGGUCCAGUGAACACAACACAAGUCUUCAAGCAGAACACAACUGAAACAAACUCGCAGAUUU